rnacentral:rRNA from 1 species
UAGGGAAUAUUGGGCAAUGGGGGAAACCCUGACCCAGCAACGCCGCGUGAGGGAAGAAGGUUUUCGGAUUGUAAACCUCUGUCCUAUGUGACGAAGAAAGUGACGGUAGCAUAGGAGGAAGCCCCGGCUAACUACGUGCCAGCAGCCGCGGUAAUACGUAGGGGGCGAGCGUUGUCCGGAAUUACUGGGCGUAAAGGGUGCGUAGGCGGCCGGUUAAGUUGGAGGUGAAAUACCCGUGCUUAACAUGGGGGGUGCAUCGGAAACUGGUUGGCUAGAGUACAGGAGAGGGAAGCGGAAUUCCUAGUGUAGCGGUGAAAUGCGUAGAUAUUAGGAGGAACACCAGUGGCGAAGGCGGCUUUCUGGACUGACACUGACGCUGAGGCACGAAAGCGUGGGGAGCAAACA